GAAGCUGUGGUGAGGUGAAAAAGACAUGCUCGCAUAAACGAACAGUGUUCCCUCGAUUUCAGUUUUCUCCCACUCGUUGGCUUCGGAGUUGAAGUUGUAAAGUGCCACCUGUCCGGUCACAUCGAGCAGCUUGUUGAUGUACGGAUCUUGUCUCUGUAAAGCCGCUAAGCUCAUGUUGCGGCCAGCGUUC